GUACAUCUAUUUUGGUGACAGAGGAGAGAGGAAGAAUUAGAGAUAUGAAGAAAGGGAGCCAAUUUGUAACUUUUACUCUUUCCUUUAUAAUGAUAAAAAAUAAAGAGAGAGAAAGGAAUUUCCAGAAUAUCUUCUUGGAAUAAUAAAACAAAAUGUCAAAUUUUCCCAAGUUCUUCAUGCUGCUCUCCGAAAAACAAUUUCUUUACUGCAAUACCCUAUCUGGAAAUAGUGUCCUCGAAAACAUGCAAUUCUCCAAAAACACUUCUUAAGGUUUUUCAAAAUUCUUAUUGCAUCUUUAAGCUUGCUCUGUGUUGCGCCUGAAUUGUUAAUUGACUAACUAGACGGAGGGCCCAAACUAUGUCAGCUGUUCUCAAUCCUGGCUGCAUAUUGGAAUCACCUGCAGAGGCUUUAGAACCUGUUGGAUCCCGCCUCCAGAGAUUCUGACUUGACUUGAUUAGCUGAAGGCCCAGGCACUGGGAGUUUUAUAAAGCUCCCCAGGUGACUGUAUUAACUGCCCAUCUCCGUCCUCCCUCUGCACAGCUGGGCCUGAGCUGCACCCUUAAACCAUCUGUGCUUGGUGGCCUGGAAUCUAGAAAGCGCGGUGCCUACCUGCAAUGGAGGUUUGGUGUUAAGGACGAGAUUUAUAUGAACAGAAAUAUAUCCACCAACUUCUGUAUGAAGUCACCAAGAAUACCGCAACCAGCAAAGAACUCCUCUCUAAAAACGUGGCUCAUCCCCUCGAAAGAGAGAAGAUAAAGUGGUGACUAAAUACUGCGUCUUCAACUGAUAGAUCCAGGUGAACACACUGGGAUUCAUCACGGAAAGAACUCAACCCAUGGAGAAUGAAGAGGAGCAAGACAGGAAAAUCACCCAUCUGGGAAUGGCAUGGAGCCAGGGGAGGCUCCCCAACCAUGGGGAAAUGGUGCUCACCAUUGGCCAGCCCCACCAAAAGCCAAACUAUAAGGAGGCAUCCAGCCAAACAGCCUCUUCAGUCUUGGAACAGCUUGGAAAAUGAAUCUGGAAGGACAAAUAGGUGAUCUACAGCAUAAUCUCCAUUAUAGUGUACUUUCUCUUCAUCCGGUUGAUUUGGUUUGGAUCUGUGUCCCCACCCAAAUCUCAUGUUGAACUGUAAUCUCCAGUGUUGGAGGUGGGGCCUCGUGGGAGGUGUUUGGAUCAUGAAGGCAGAUUCCUUAUGAAUGAUUUGGGCCAUCCCUUUGGUGAUGAGUGAGCUCUUGCUCUGAGUUGACAGGAGAUCUGGUCAUUCAAAAGUGUGUGACAUGCUCCCUGCCUCCACCUGCUCUUGCUCAUGCUUUUGCCAUGUGACUUGCCUGCCCCUUGUUCGCCUUCUGCCAUGAUUGUAAGCUUCCAGAAGCCUCCCUGGAAGCUGAGUAGUUGCCAGCACCAUGCUUCCUGUAAAGUCUGAAGAACUGUGAAUGAAUUAAACUUCUUUUCUUUAUAAAUUACUUUAUAAAUGGUAAAGGUAUUUCUUUACAGUAAUGCAAGAAUGCCCUAAUACACAGGUCCGAGAUCAAAGGAUAAAAAAUUA
rnacentral:lncRNA from 1 species